ACGCUCGACACCUACGGGAGGCAGCAGUGGGGGAUAUUGCACAAUGGGGGAAACCCUGAUGCAGCAACGCCGCGUGAAGGAAGAAGGUCUUCGGAUUGUAAACUUCUGUCCUCAGGGAAGAUAAUGACGGUACCUGAGGAGGAAGCUCCGGCUAACUACGUGCUAGCAGCCGCGGUAAUCUGAGCGGGCUGGCAAGGC
rnacentral:rRNA from 1 species